AUUGAGCUCCUAUGCUUUUAAAAGUACCAAGACAUUGGUGCUUGCAAGUUUUUAGCCUUUAGAUUAAAAAAUAUGUGGUUAGGAUGAUGUGGGCCCACUAGGGUUGAGUGGGUGGUUGGUUGAAUAGUAUAAUCUAACGGGUGUAAAUGAUCAACAGUGUUGAUCUAACGGUUAAAAACCUACAAGCACAAAGUGAUUGGUGCUUUUACAAGUACCGGGACCUCCGUGCUUAUAACUUGUUUUCGAUGAUAGGACAUUCGAUUCGACAAUCAGCUCCGUUAGGUAUAAUCUACCCUAUUGGAACUAUCUAGAAACCAAAUUUUAUAAUUUUUUGACAUCAUUUACUAAGCGAUCAAAAGGUCCAAAAAAUGAUUAUUUUAAUGGCGAUGCAGCAUAUUUUUAAGUUCAACGGUGUAGAAGUAUCCAAAUUACAUAAAAAUUUAAUAGAAAAUUCUACUUAACGUCAAUAGCAAGAUCAAUACUUCCGAUUUGAAAUUUGAGUCAUUUAUCAUUAUUUUUUAUGAGAUUUUUAUUUUCAGCCGUUCAUUUUGAGGCUACUCGUUCACUAGGCAAACAAAGUCAAAAAAUUAUGAAAUUUGAUUUCUAGAUAGUUCCAAUAGCGUAGAUCAUGUCUAACGGAACCGAUCGCCGAAUUGGACGUCCCAUCAUCGAAAACAACUUACAAGUACGGAGGCCCCCGUACUUUCGAAAGCAUAGGAGCCUAACUCUAUAU
rnacentral:lncRNA from 1 species